AGUGAACGCUGGCGGUAGGCCUAACACAUGCAAGUCGAACGGCAGCACAGUAAGAGCUUGCUCUUACGGGUGGCGAGUGGCGGACGGGUGAGGAAUACAUCGGAAUCUACUUUUUCGUGGGGGAUAACGUAGGGAAACUUACGCUAAUACCGCAUACGAACUACGGGUGAAAGCAGGGGAUCUUCGGACAUUGCGCGAGUGAAUGAGCCGAUGUCGGAUUAGCUAGUUGGCGGGGUAAAGGCCCACCAAGGCGACGAUCCGUAGCUGGUCUGAGAGGAUGAUCAGCCACACUGGAACUGAGACACGGUCCAGACUCCUACGGGAGGCAGCAGUGGGGAAUAUUGGACAAUGGGCGCAAGCCUGAUCCAGCCAUACCGCGUGGGUGAAGAAGGCCUUCGGGUUGUAAAGCCCUUUUGUUUGGAAAGAAAAGCAGCAGGUUAAUACCCCGCUGUUCUGACGGUACCCAAAGAAUAAGCACCGGCUAACUUCGUG
rnacentral:rRNA from 1 species